CGACGAUGGUGUUGAUAACAGAGGUGAAAAGAGAGGGACCGAUGCAGUGGAAGAUAAAGAACAAACAAGUAGCCCUCGGCAACUAGGGAGCGAGUGAGCAGCUGCAAGCAGCUGUAUUGCAUGCUAACAUUUCUCCAUGGAAGAAGAAAUCUUACCAGAACUACCCAGGCACAUCUAUAAGGAUUUGGCAUAACACGAUGUGGUUCAUUACUGCCACCAGCUGGCUUGGAGUGUGGACCAGAAUGUUGCUGACCUGCACAGCCGCCCAUCGCGCAUGUUAAAAAGUCAGACGUGGCAGCCG